rnacentral:lncRNA from 1 species
UUUUCAAAGAACCCGGUGCAGCAGGAAGACCGAGGAGACAGCCGCCUCCCCUGCUCGACUCCUGCUGACUGUGGAACUGAGCUGGAGCCGCGUAGCCAUGGUGACGGUGGCAGUCGGCCGACAGCCCGGGAGGGGGUCGGGGAGAGGGAAGAGGGAGCCAGAAGCCGGGCGGAGGCCUCCUGCCGGGGAUGGGCAAACGGGUUUCUGGAAACCGCUCCUGGGGGAGGGGCACGUGGGGAGGGAGCGCUCCCCUCCCCGCGAAGCCGGGCACCCUGCCGCGCCGCCCACCUGCCUUCCCCGCCUCCUCCCCUGACUCACCACGCAGCACCGCCAUCUCUUCGCCCACGUGCCCCCCUGGGACGCCCUUAUCCGUGGACACUGCUUGACAAGGAGGGCGGAGGGGCCUCAGCCCAUCACUUGCAAGGUACUGGGCGCCCCAAGACCGUCCAGUGUGCCCUGAAGGCCACUCCCGCUCCAGUCUCUCGCCGGCUUCCCCAGGCUCCCAGCAUAAACACGAACUUGACUCCAGUCCUGCCUCCUGCCUGGUCACCUGACCUUUCUGCCCUGGGCCACCCUGGUGGUCUUCCCAUUUCCUGGGCUCUCCCUCACAGCCAUUGCCCGGGCCCUCUUCUCCACCUGGGAUGCCCUCACUUCCAUCCUGCGUUUGCCCCUUCAGGUAUAAGCCCAAACAUCGCUUUUCCAGGACAGCCUGUCCUAUUCCCACCCCACCCAGGCGGGUCACCUCGGUCACUCCAGUCACUCCGCCCUGCAGGACCCAGGAACUCUUUGUAGCAUUCCUCUCAGCUGCUAUGUCUUGGCAGGAGGCCUCUCCUCCCCGCUGGACUGGAAGGGCCAGGAGGGCAGAGCCAGGCCUCCUCUCUGCACCUUGGAUUCCCCAAAUUUUGUACAAUGUCUGGCAGAAGAUCCUCACUCAAAAAAUGUUGGAAGGGAGGAAAGAAAAGAGGGAAGGAGGAAGGAGGGAGGGAGAGAGGGAAAAAGGAAGAAAGGG